rnacentral:tRNA from 1 species
AGAAACUUAGGCUAUACAGACCAAGAGCCUUCAAAGCUCUAAGUGGGAGUUUAAAUCUCCCAGUUUCUG